GGGUUAUUCAGAUCCACAAGACGUGGUGCAGUAUAAGUUGGCCAAGACUUUGACAUUGUGUGAUUAAUUUAGGUUAAUUUAGUUUCAGGAGUUCACUCUUCACUCUUCAAAGAUGCAAUGAGCUGUGUGUUAGAACUAUGAUCUUUAGAUUCUUAAAACAAUGAGGUGAUGACAUCACAAGAUUUUGGAAUUCUUGGUUUCCAUGGCUACAGAACAUCAGCCUGGGCUAGGCAGUAAUUUCUGGUGAAGGCAAAGUUCUGUAAAUAUUUAUUUAGGGGUACAAUAUGGCAAAAACUGUAGAGCAGCUGCAUAAACGCAUGUUUAUAGAGGGCUGCUUCAAGGUGGGAACCCUGCUUUUACAACAAGGGACACAAAACUAGUUAGGAACAAGCAAUGAAUGUUAUAGAUAAUAUUAUAGCAACAAGAAAUAUUUGUGCUUAGGUAAAAAAAACAUUUGUGAGAACCUGUGCAUUUGUGUAGUUUUAAGUGUAGUUGUAUUUUCGUGUAAGAAAUUAUCUUUCAAAGGCUUUUACACAGCAAAUAGUGUAGCCUUCACUAGCUAACAGUGAAGGCUAAUGGAUGGCUUUGCAGGCUAAAAGCUAACAGCACAGUUUAAGUCAAAAUUCACUUGAUUUCAGUUUUAUUUAUACAGCGCCAAAUCACAACAACAGCUGCCUAAAGGUGCUGAAAUGUGGUAACUGAUCUAUAAAUUGUAUCUGUGAGCAUUAUUGUGACUAGCUACUUGGUAAACGUUAUUCUUUUCCCUUUUCUGCCUAAUGUCUUUUCUUUAUCACUCACCAUAGUUUAUUUGCGCUCUUUUGCAAAACCUAUUUUCUAUUGGCUCAAUUGUGUGCCUAUCAAGUUUAUUUUGUUCUCCUUUCACCUUUUUGGCUUAACCCAUACAUGCUUGACUGCGAUUGGUUAAGAGAAGUAAAUCCCUCCUCCUUAUGCUGACUGAGGGAGAUUCCGCGCGUGUAAUGCAGAUAUGGCUAUCGCGCAUCGGGUGAAAUGCUAGAGCAAGCCUUCCGUGAUUAGUGAGGGAAAAUACUUUCUGCAUUGGCAAAAAAUAACAGACCAUAACCGGGAUUUGGUUGAGGAGGAGCAGAACGGAAUCACCAAGAAGACCGGAGGUUGUUUCUACGGGAAUUAUAGUACUUCCGACUGUUUUGGUCCACAACAUGGGAACAGAGUAGCUGCGAGAGAAUUCAACAUUAAUGAAUCAAUGGUACGGAAGUAGAGGAAGCAAGAAGAAUGAGUUGAGUAAAGUUUGACUUAUCUGACUGUUUUGUUUCACUUAUUGCGCCCUAUAAUCUGAAAAAUACGGUAACUUCUACCUUCCUGUAAUAUGUCCAGAAGUCCAACUUUUUGUGCGAUGGUUAGCAUCUUCCUUGGCCUUUUGGGUGCUACCGCAGGUGUCUUUGGCCAUGCAAAACGUUUCAUUGACAUUGCUGUGUUUGUUGGGGAGAAACACCUUCUUCCUUCAUCAAGAUGGCUGCUAGGGUGCAGACACACAGCUUGGCAGGUCCUGUGCUUUUGCCAAAAAACCCACCUAAAAAACCAUCUAAAAACCCCUGGAUCUUGACAUCAACUUGUCUUUUUGUUUUUAUACAUUUUUAUCUUCUGUGGAGUUCGACAUGUCCAAGAAAGCUGGAUAAUUAUACCACUUUCCCAGCCAAAUGGAGUCAACAUCUUUUGUUCACAAGCUUCUUGGAUUUUGGUCAUGCUGGACCACCCCCAGGUAAACACGAACAAUCAAAUAUACCACAACUGUCGCUGGAGAUUCUGAAACUUGUUCUGAUGCUACUUUUGGCUGGUGAUAUAGAACUAAAUCCUGGACCUAAUUCAAACAUCAGUGAUUUGGACUGGCUACAACUAAUUAGCCUAGUUAGCCUAUGGGCACAGCUAUCUCUGCAUUGCUUUCCACCUCAACUAACUGUGCUCCAACCACCGUCCCAGUUAGUAAGGCUACACCUGCAGCUAAUAGUGUUUACCCCCCUGUUGUCUGGGCCUCCACUUCUGCUGUUUGGGUUACCACCUCAGCUGCUCGGGCCUCCUCCUCAGUUGCCUGGGUUUCUGCCUCAGCUGCCUGGGCCUCCAUCUCAGCUGCCUGGGCCUCCAUCUCAGCUGCCUGGGCCUCCAUCUCAGCUGCCUGGGCCUCCAUCUCAGCUGCCUGGGCCUCCAUCUCAGCUGCCUGGGCCUCCAUCUCAGCUGCCUGGGUUUCCACUGUGGUUGCCUGGGCCUUCGCCUCAGCUGCCUGGGCCUCCGCCUCUGCUGCCUGGGCCUCCGCCUCUGCUGCCUGGGCCUCCGCCUCUGCUGCCUGGGCCUCCGCCUCUGCUGCCUGGGCCUCCGCC
ensembl:lncRNA